CUUGGCCGGGGAGAUCAGUGGCAGGGCAGCUGGCAGGCGCCCUUUCCUGGACAGCACCCAGCAAAUAUAUUGAAGGGAACCCAUUCUUCCAGGGCUAUAAAAAUCAAAUGCUGGCUGUAUGGCAGUUAACCUCGCAAGCACACAGAGGGCGAGGAGCGUAUUACAAACCCAGGGAGAUUACAGAGCAGCUCACAGAGUCAGCUGUCGAACCAGCGCUCCCAACGGGAGAGCAAACACGCUGGGAGUGGGUGAGCGAGCGUGUGUUCGGCACAGCCGGCAGGGGCACGCUCCCAGCUGGCUGAAAGCACAGACGAGUUGUCAGCAGGCACUUCUCACCAGUGAUCCCCCCCACACCCUGGAGGAAGGCGUGCCAGAUCCUCCCCUCGCAAUGGAAUGGCGGAGGGAAAAGGCUGCCCCAGGAGACGCCUGUAUCCAGGGAGCACAGGACGGACUCCCUCUAGCUUGGGGUCCGGACUGAGGCCGGUUUGGAUUAAAAGAGCCAGCCGUCGGGCGGUGAACUUUACCUUGGGGGGGGCCAGAGGGGACAGACUUCUGUUUCUUAUGCUGACGAGGCGCUCACGGCCUCUCCUGUCUCUCUAGAACAGAACUGAUUACUGAUGGGCAGAUCUGUGAUCUCGGCAGCUCUCCCAGCGCCAAGAGAUGGCAAGGCUCCGGCACAGGCCCCCUUUGGAAGCCUGAAUGGCCGCUUACAAGGUAGCUGGCAGUACAGACUGGGAUGGCUAUGGCUCCAGUGCAUUUAUGACGAUGGCUGGUCACGCCAGCUCCCUCCGACAACAGCAGGUGGAGGCUAGCGCAGGUGUCAACAACAAAAACCUGAGCGGUGUACCGUCGCGACUCCCUGUGCUGUAAAAUACGCCAGGGUGACUUUUCUUCAGAACAGUCAAAGCACAAAAGCAAGUCUCAGAUCAUUUGAUUGUAUGCUGGUGCCGCAAAACCGGCUCAGAUAGCUGCCUGCCUCGACUGAAUUCCCCACCGCACAGGGCACUGAUCUGUCCAUCGGGAGGUGGACUUUUAUACGGAAGACUGGUUGCCUGUUCCCCUUGCCAGCUUGGGCAGACGGAAGGCGAGCCUCACAGCAGAGGCUGGUCGUCAGGCUCCAUGGAAAUGAACCAGAAAGCACCGCAGUGGUUGCCGAGACGACGCACAGGCAUUGUCAGGGCUGAUUUCUGGAGGCAAAACAAAAGACUAGGUGUCAGCCGGUUAUUUGUCAUUCUGCGAGGGGGAUCUUCCUCCAAACUGAAGGGUUCUGGAAACCAACGAGAAAAAUCGUUGCUCUGUGCAACGUUUGUGGUUUCUGGUAUUCAGCGAAUGGAGAAAGCAGGAGAAAAAGCCAACAGCACUUCCCUACCUAGAGCGCCAGGCGAUGGAUUUUCAUAUGGCUUCCGGGCCAGAUCCCUGACAAAGCACCGUCGAUACGUUUGUUCACACCAGCUGGCUGGCUUCCUGCAGUGCUGGCCUCCAUCUAUAAUGGGAUGCUACAUCCUACUGUCCUAAACGGACACUGAGGAUGGGCAACAAUUUCAUGGACUGACUGCUCCCAGGGUCACCUCUUUGGAGAGCGUUUCCAUCGGGAUAAACUCGGGCGGCCCCGGUGUCACGUCAGCAUGUCCCGACGCCAAGGGCUUGCAUCGCAUCAACGGGGGAGGGGUGGCGCAAUACUGCAGCGACUGGUGAUUAGACAGAGAAAUGCAACUGCGGCCUUUGAGCUCAUGCUGAUUCCAGGUGUGUGGGUCUCCAGGCCACCUGCAUACCUGGCCCUGUAUCAUGGCUGCUAUACAGGUGAUAACUGUCUGGGAACGGGCAAAGUGCCUCCACCCCUGUGUAUUUCACUUGUGAUGCCAGCUGACGAGAACGCUGGUCCCCGUGGGACAUCACAGGGUCUGAGAAACUAGCGAGGAGAGGCAAGGGGUAAGGCAUUUACUGGUGGCUUGACUGUUAUAGCCACAUUUCACCAGUGUUCCUGCGCCUCCCUGCAGCUCCUCCCUGGCCAAUGCCGGGAAUUAAUUAGAUUAAUUAUAUUCGGCCAGCGAUCCUGCAUGUUGGUGCCAAAAAUACUCUCUCGUGUGUGUGCCAUUUCCUUCCUUGCCCCUACAGUAAUCCUCAGCCUGUGGAGCAAAUUAUUAAAAUUCACUUAUAUUUAAUCUGCC